GUUUUUGGAGGGGAAACCAGGAAAGGGGAUAUAAUUUGAAAUGUAAAUAAAUAAAAUAACCAAUAAAAAAAUCAGGCAGCAUCCCAUAAUAAUGGGGACCACAAAGGGUUGAUGGCUAAGAGAGAUGUAAUAACCACGUAGGAGAGGGAGUCAGUCUGAUGAGGAAGAGUGAGCUACUGUACUUAAGAAGCUACCUCUCCCUGAUGCACUCCUUAUCCCAAUGUCCUGCCAUGUGGGAUUUCUGAUCACUUAGACCCACAUUGGCCAGGUGGUUCCUGUAGCUGUAGUUCUCUGGGGCAGUGUAAUCCUGGGGACUAAACAUGCCCUCAGUCAAGGUCUGCAUAAGUAAGAACACGAAGGCAGGAAUACAGGUGAACUGGCAGACCAGCUUCCUGGGAUGAUCUGGUCGUAUAGAACAAAACUUCCCAGUUCCUGAAUUUCCUUGGCUUGGAACUUUCUAGAUUAGCUGUUAAUCCUCAGAGAACCACUUGGCCAGGAGUUCAUCCAGAAUGCAAGAAUCCCAAAGGUGCUUCAUGAUUCGAUAUUGGCUUCCUUCUCUGUACAGAGCAUCGAGGAUGUUAGGAUGCUGAGCUGGGCAAAACAACUUUUCCAAACCUUUUCCCCCUGAGGAGGGUGGCUGUGAUUCCACCUUCAGAGGCAGGAUUGAUAAUGGGGGUUUCACGUUCCCAGUGGACACCUGACUUGGAUUUUUAUAAUAUGUGAGUUUAUUUUAAGUGUUUAGAAAGAAAGUCAUUGUAUUAAUUACUUUUCUGUUGCUAUGAUAAAAUGUUGUGACCAAAAUUAAUUUAUGGAAGAAAAAGUUUAUUUUAGCAUAUGGUUCCAGAGGGGUAAGAGUCCAUCGUAUUGGAGAUACAUAGAAGCAAGCGGCAGGCAUGGCAGCAAAAGCAGGUAUCUGAGAGAUCACAUCUCCAACUGUAAGCACAAAGGAGAAAGAACUGGAAGUAUGCUGACACCCAAUGAUCUAAUUUCUCCAGCAAGGCUGUACCACCCCACCCUACCCCACCCUGCCACACCUGUGCUCCAACACCACCACAAACUGGGAACCAAGUCUUCAGAUACCUACAUGAGCCUACAGUGGACAUUUCUCUUUCAAGUCACCAUAGUCAUAUAGAAAAAAGGUUAGUACACAAUAAUACAACACAUGGGUCUAGGUUUCUCAAGAGAUGCUAAGGUCAGCAGGUCAGUAAGGUGGCUCAGCAGGUAAAACCACACAAGUCUCAUGACCUAAGUUUAAUCCCCAGAACCAUAGUAGAAUGAGAGAACUGACUCCCAAAAGUUAUCCUCAGACGUCCACAUACAUUCCACAAGACGUGCAUGAAUGCCGUACUCAUACACAUAUAGGGCAAUAGUGAAGGAUGCUUAAGCGUGUUUACAGUGACUAUGUAUAAUCCUGUGGUAACUUACAACAAGGUUUAAAAAGUAAACAAACUUAAAAGC
rnacentral:lncRNA from 1 species